rnacentral:lncRNA from 1 species
UGGGAGGCAAAUGCAUUUAGGGAUUCCAGCAGGCAUUGAGGAGUAGGUACUUCUAUGUUUUGAUGAGAUAGUCAAAAUAUUUGACUUUAUUAAAAAUAAAUGAAUCAUGUGUGUGUGCAAGAAGAUAAGUGGGAGUCCCAUUAAUUUUUUGGUUAUGUACGUGGAAGACAUACAGCUUAUUGGAAAGGUAGUCCCGAUAUUGCACUCGAUCAAUGAUAUGC